GAAUCAGAACUACCAUUUCACUAAAGAAGGAACAAAAACCCAGCGAGUUCAUCCAAAGGGAAGCGCGUAAACGCACUCUACCUUCUCUGGACUAAAUGCCUUUUUACAGCCAAAAUUUCCUUUUCACUGUCAUAGGGUCCUGAUCAACUUCAACGUUUGUGUUAAACUAUCAACAGAUACAAAGUUGCCUAAAAUUACGAAUACAUCCCGUAUGCCCUCGAAAUUUUUUACAGAUAUUCUGAAACUUUUUAUCUUGUUUCAGCAUUAGAUUGUCCCAGGGAUCUGUAUUAAGGCGCUGACGCAGAAUGGCUGGUAGAUGUACUUGGCGACGAUACAAGAGCAGAUUACAUUAACUUUACUUUCAAGCCAGUUACGCAGAAUUCGAAUUCCGUUUAUGCGUAAUUAAAAAAAAAAAAAAAAGAAAAGUCUAACUUGUUUCCAGGAUCCCUUUUCUCUUCCUCCUGCUGAGCGGAGAGAGGGACUGGCUGAAGGUUAGAAGAGGAACCCUGGAAACGAAUCGGGCUGGUACUUCAGGAGAAUCUAGAGCAUCAUUGAAAGCUUUGGAAUGGAACGAUGGACUCGGUUUGGUUUCACGCAGAAUUCGAACCGUGUAAUUGUGGUUUAUGUCUCUAUGAUCUCCUGAAGGUUCACUGAAUGUAGAAAUUUGAAUUAGUUUACGCAAUGUAGCAAUUUGUUUUAGGCGUCUGAAAGUUGAUUUUUAAUAUGAAAUUUAAAUGUAAACACGAAUAAGGCAUUUUUACAACUUCCAUUAAAAGUAAAGUGAAAAAUGAAA